AUCCAGCCACAUAUUUAGGAAAAUGGCAUGUUCCCUCUGCCCAACUGGUCCUGUCCUGUGGUACUUCUGAAUGUACCCUGACCAACCGCCGAUGUUGUGGGUUUCUACUUUGCGCUCGGGUUUGCGAUCGUAUAGAUGACUAUAAUCGGCAGUUGAUAUGUCUAAAGCAGUGAGCAUGAGCACAUCGGCAAGAGUGGUGGAAGCGGGGCCAUGACCAAACAGGAAAGCAUUGAGAGUAUUCGACCAGAAGUAUGAAGUAGCUAUCAAUAGUGAUUCAUUCCUAUCCAUAUCGGUAAUGGAUAACCUAAUGCACUGGUCUAGUUUACACUCACCCCAUUGGACUUCAUUUGAGUUGCCAAUUCUCAAGAACCAAUCCUUCCAUCCUUUGGUAGAACUGGGCCAGGAUCGGAAAGUAUCUUUCCAGAGAUCUAAAGAAAAAUUCUCAGCUCUAAAGGGGAUCCUAUUUGUUUCCGCGUUGAUAAGAUCGGUAGGAUCCAGGUUACCCAACGAUCCAAGACAUUGAAAGUGGGGUUGCUCGGUAGGAAUCACGAUUUUAUCAGCCAGUUCCUAAAGGUUUGAAGGUUGGAAGAGCAGAAAAGAAAAAGAAAAAAAGGGGAGAAAAGUACUCAGUAAAUAGAUUUGCAGAAGUGAAAAGUACGGCAAGGGAAAGUGAAGAUGGGAGAGAAUUGACCUCAGGGACGGUGAAGUUAACAGCCAUUUCUUCCCGAAGAGGAAGAAGAUCGACGACUUGAAGGAUUGUUGGGGCUCGCUGAAGUUCUUGGACUUCUCGAACAAUGCCGCCGCCGGGAAGAUGGGUUUGAGGAUGCAGAAUGGCAAGGUGGAGAAAGAGUGCCGAAGAAGGAAGUAUUUAUAGGAUAAAGAGAGCAGGGGUAUUUCUGACCUAUCCCUUUGCCGUAUCCGUGAAAAUUGAGGGUGUUUAGGUGGAUAUGGUAACUGUUCGCACGGUAAUCAUGGGAUUGUGCAGGUGAUUUGACAGUAAGCGGUCAUAAUUUUGGGAGAUAUUUUACUGUGCAAGAUCUCCU
rnacentral:lncRNA from 1 species